rnacentral:rRNA from 1 species
AUUGAACGCUGGCGGCAUGCCUUACACAUGCAAAUCGAACGGUAACGGGCCUUCGGGUGCCGACGAGUGGCGAACGGGUGAGUAAUACAUCGGAACGUGCCCGAUCGUGGGGGAUAACGAGGCGAAAGCUUUGCUAAUACCGCAUACGAUCUACGGAUGAAAGCAGGGGACCGCAAGGCCUUGCGCGGACGGAGCGGCCGAUGGCAGAUUAGGUAGUUGGUGGGAUAAAAGCUUACCAAGCCGACGAUCUGUAGCUGGUCUGAGACGAUGAUCAGCCACACUGGGACUGAGACACGGCCCAGACUCCUACGGGAGGCAGCAGUGGGGAAUUUUGGACAAUGGGCGCAAGCCUGAUCCAGCCAUGCCGCGUGCAGGAUGAAGGCCUUCGGGUUGUAAACUGAUUUUGUACGGAACGAAAAGCCUUCUUUUAAUACAGGAGGGUCAUGACGGUACCGUAAGAAUAAGCACCGGCUAACUACGUG